ACGAGCUUCCGUUGAAUGACGUGCUUGCACUGAUUUCAACAAUGAAGCGAGUGGCGAACUGGUGAGUAACACGUGGGAAAUCUGCCCAGAAGCAGGGGAUAACACUUGGAAACAGGUGCUAAUACCGUAUAACAACAAAAUCCGCAUGGAUUUUGUUUGAAAGGUGGCUUCGGCUAUCACUUCUGGAUGAUCCCGCGGCGUAUUAGUUAGUUGGUGAGGUAAAGGCCCACCAAGACGAUGAUACGUAGCCGACCUGAGAGGGUAAUCGGCCACAUUGGGACUGAGACACGGCCCAAACUCCUACGGGAGGCAGCAGUAGGGAAUCUUCCACAAUGGACGAAAGUCUGAUGGAGCAAUGCCGCGUGAGUGAAGAAGGGUUUCGGCUCGUAAAACUCUGUUGUUAAAGAAGAACACCUUUGAGAGUAACUGUUCAAGGGUUGACGGUAUUUAACCAGAAAGCCACGGCUAACUACGUGCCAGCAGCCGCGGUAAUACGUAGGUGGCAAGCGUUGUCCGGAUUUAUUGGGCGUAAAGCGAGCGCAGGCGGUUUUUUAAGUCUGAUGUGAAAGCCUUCGGCUUAACCGGAGAAGUGCAUCGGAAACUGGGAGACUUGAGUGCAGAAGAGGACAGUGGAACUCCAUGUGUAGCGGUGGAAUGCGUAGAUAUAUGGAAGAACACCAGUGGCGAAGGCGGCUGUCUAGUCUGUAACUGACGCUGAGGCUCGAAAGCAUGGGUAGCGAACAGGAUUAGAUACCCUGGUAGUCCAUGCCGUAAACGAUGAGUGCUAAGUGUU
rnacentral:rRNA from 1 species